CUGGUUACUUGAUUUAAGGUUGGUCCCUACUCAAACGCGUCAUAACAAUUUACCGGAUAUGAUUAUCGAUACGAAAUGUUAAAACCAAAUCCGUCUUUACGAGUUCUACCGGGUUAGUACCGUUAUCGGUUUAGGUAUUAUAUCGCGCUGAGCAUUUCCAGUUGGCACUUUUAAGAUUACGCUCGUGUUUACCGAGAUGCCAAGGUUUAAAGGCAGGUUUGUUAAAGACUCUCUUGUUAGAAAAAUUGAAGAUUAGAUAAAGGAAGAAGCAAUCGAAUAAACAAAUCAUAUUUAACAUGUGACGAAACUAGUGGUGUGCCAGUAAGUGACUUAGAUUACAGUUAUCAUUAUCAUAGAGUUAUGGCUGUGAUGGUGAGAAUAUUCAUGUCGUUUGAAAAGAAGAGACAUAUUCGGUUUAGGAAGAUAAGAAAAUGAAUCAGUGGAGAAUGGGCAGACGUGUAGUUGAUCUUGGGGGUUCUUGCGGAUGGUCUAAGCAGUUGUGAGUUAUGCGGACAGCCACUGCAAUUGUCAAACUGUGUGGGGGAACACAAAAUUCGGCCUUGCACAUGUAGCCCUACUACUUGUCAAGUGCAAAUUUACUGACUGUGGGCUAAUACCGAAGUGGCAACAGGAAGCAAACACCAGACUUCAAAUGGCAGAAAUGCAUGGGAUGUAAAUACCAAAAUAGCAGUAGGUAUUAAAUCUGUAUUUUAUUACAUAGUUUAUUCACAUAUUCAAAUUGGAUCAUGAUGUUGGUUAUUUUUAUUUUAAGAACAGUUAUAGUCAGUAUAUAAACAUAAAAAAUGUGACUUGCUUUUUUGUUAAAAGCAUCUUUAUUCUCAAACAUACAUAUGCACACACCUAAUUAUACACACACACAUACAGAAAAUAAACAAGGACAAUCAUGUCAUAUAUUCACUUUCCAUGUUGACUUGUUAAUAAUUUUGAGAACUCAUUUCAGGAAUAAUAAACGGAGGAUUUCCAGAUUUGGUGAAACACAUGUAAAUUCACUCCUGGCUGCUUUAAACAUACCCAGCGUUUCUCGGAUAACUCUGAACAAUAGAGGAAGAGAGGUCAAGCAACAAUUUGGACAAAUGGCAGGGGAAACUUGUAAUAAAAGUCUGCAGGAGGAGAUGAGAUUGAAAUUAUGCCAUUUUCUAGCAAUACAUGACCUAUUUAUAUUUUUAUUUGCAAUCAUUUUUUACAAAAUUAUGUCGUUAAUUAAAAAUAUUAUUGUUUAGGAGUCAAGGGAGUCUGGCGGUUAUAUCUGAUGGUGCUUGGCAGAAGCGGGGUACCGGGAGAGCUUAAAAUAGUCUUACAGGACUUGCCUCUCUGUUGGAGAAAAAUCGAAGAAAAUAGUCAUUUUUUCAGUGUAGGGAAAAAAGUAGGGUAUGUGCAGCUGCCAAAUUAAAGAGUAAUUCUCCCAGGCAACACAAGUGCUGUAAGAACUCAACUGGAUCAGCAAAGGUUAUGGUUUUCAGCCUGCCAUGGCCUGUGAGAUGUUGGAGAUCGAGAAUGUAGGGGGAAAGUAGAUACUGUGAUUAUGGACAAUGACUCAACUACCAUGGCAAGAGUGAAAGAUAAUGUUGAUCCCAAUAUGAGCAAAAGAUCCGACAGUAAUCACACAAAGAAGGGAUUUAGUGGUGUAUUAGUAGAACUGAGCAGCAAGCUUAAAGUUUUCAGUUGUAACAUAACUUUAUCUAUGUCCUAUGCUGGUGUUACUGAAGUAGAAACAGUAUUUAAUUGUUUGUAUUUGAGUGCAUGCCUGAAAAGAAGAAUGUUGCAUUGGUAUAGCCGUUUUUGUAUUUGUGCGGACAUAUUUCAAUUAUUGAUGAGUUGUAAAAAAUGCAUUUAAAUGAUUUUUUAAAGACAGAUUUACUUGUUAUGUUUUAUAAUGCAUGAAAAUGGUAUAAGAGUGUGAUUUUUCUUUUAAAUAUGUUUGUUACUGAUAUUUUAGAGUUGAAUUUGUUUGAUCGGCAAGGGGGUAUACAUGAUCUAGAAGGUGUAGAUAAUUAAAAAGCCUGAAAAGUACUAAUUUUUUGGGGCUUUUUAGUUGCAACAGAUAUAAAUCUAAUAUUUUAAAUGAAAAAAGAACGUGUUUAUCCAUUACUUUAUGAAAAAAUGUGUAAAAAUGACGAUAUUGUAAAAAAAUUUAAAGCACCAAAUUGAUAUCAUAUUGGAAAAAAACGUUAUAUUAUAAAAUAAAUAUUCAUAUAUGAGACUGGUUAUGCCUUUCCUACAUAUUAAUGAAUAAAUAAAUACAUUUGAAAGUAA